rnacentral:rRNA from 1 species
AGAGUUUGAUCAUGGCUCAGAUUGAACGCUGGCGGUAUGCUUAACACAUGCAAGUCGAACGGUAGCAGGCCUUCGGGCGCUGACGAGUGGCGGACGGGUGAGUAACGCGUAGGAAUCUGCCUCAUAGUGGGGGACAACGUGGGGAAACUCACGCUAAUACCGCAUACGCCCUACGGGGGAAAGCGGGGGAUCGUAAGACCUCGCGCUAUGAGAUGAGCCUGCGUUAGAUUAGCUAGUUGGUAGGGUAAAGGCCUACCAAGGCGACGAUCUAUAGCUGGUCUGAGAGGACGAUCAGCCACACUGGGACUGAGACACGGCCCAGACUCCUACGGGAGGCAGCAGUGGGGAAUAUUGGACAAUGGGCGCAAGCCUGAUCCAGCAAUACCGCGUGUGUGAAGAAGGCCCUAGGGUUGUAAAGCACUUUCAAUAGGGAGGAAAACCUGCCGGUCAAUACCCGGUAGCUUGACAUUACCUAUACAAGAAGCACCGGCUAACUCC